AAUGGACCAAUUCCUCUUUAGA
rnacentral:tRNA from 1 species